GAUGAGGGCAGUGCUUCUUACGUCUCAUCCAAGCACUAAUGUAGGAGCCACAGGGAAAGGCAAAGAGAAACUCUGCCACUUGCUCGCAGUACCCUCCCCUCGGGGUUCCAACUCCUCCCUCAUAAAAUGAGUAGAAGGAAGCUCAUUUUCCUCAGGCUUCCUGCUCUCUCGGCCUUUCUUUCCCCUGCUUCAGGAACUGUCUCUCUCUGAGGUGAUGGGGUCAGCCUCAGAACCACUCACUAUCACAUUCCCGAGUUGCUUUCAGACAGCCUGCUGCAGCACGUUCACAUCAGCCCUGGGAAGCCAGGCCUUCAGUGAAGACCUCUGUGCACAGUCAUGCUUCCUGACACUUGUCAAGACCUGGGGUCUUCCCGCGAUCCCUCACCUCAGCCUCAGAGUUCUCUGGUCACAAUUUAUCAUGUGCUCAGGAGAAUGGAAAGGCCCUGUGUGACAAUCCCAGCACUGUGGUGUUCAAAUUUUCUAUAGACUUUGGAGCAUCUUCAACUGGUGUAUGUGGAUGUUGGCAUGAGAAUGUUAAUUAAGAAGUCAUCACUGGAAGGCAGGCAGUUCGAAAUCAGCUUCAAGUCUUUCUCCUCUCCUGAACCUUUUGAAUGAAAGUACAACUGGAAGCCUCAGCUUCAUUUGGGUCCUCCAUCGGCAGCAGAGUGUGAGCCAGAGUUGUGCUCCAUGUCUCCUCUCAGGAACUUGUGCAGGCAUCCAGGAAGAAAGAUGAGCACAGUGAGUUUUCUAAACAACCAGCAGCAUGAACGAGGACUGUAGGGUUUUCUUCAGUCUUAGGCUAGGGCAGCCUCCGCUGCUUUUCCAUGCAUUGAUACAGAGAUGCUAUGUAUUCUGGUGGCUAAGAUAGUCUCUCCACCCAAGGCACGUGAGUCACCUUCAACCUUAACCAUCAUGGUGCUCCCCCUGCUGGGCUGAACACGAAAUGCAGCCCUUGCAAGGAGGCUUGCACAAUUGUAGUUGUCUUUUCUUUUUUUACAUUUAUUUGUUUGUGUGUACAUAUAUAUGUAUGC